CUACGGGCUGCUGCAGUGAGGAAUAUUGCACAAUGGGGGGAACCCUGAUGCAGCAACGCCGCGUGGAGGAUGACGCAUUUCGGUGUGUAAACUCCUUUUAUAUGUCAAGAAAAUGACGGUAGCAUAUGAAUAAGCACCGGCUAACUCCGUGCCAGCAGCCGUCGGUAAUACGGAGGGUGCAAGCGUUACUCGGAAUCACUGGGCGUAAAGGACGCGUAGGCGGGUUGGAAAGUCAGGUGUGAAAUCCUACAGCUUAACUGUAGAACUGCACUUGAAACUUCUAAUCUAGAGUAUGGGAGGGGGAGAUGGAAUUAGUGGUGUAGGGGUAAAAUCCGUAGAUAUCACUAGGAAUACCUAAAGCGAAGGCGAUCUCCUGGAACAUUACUGACGCUAAGGCGUGAAAGCGUGGGGAGCAAACAGGAUUAGAUACCCCGGUAGUC
rnacentral:rRNA from 1 species